UUUCUGUAUCUUUGUAAUUUAAAUGUUUAGAAUAUAUAUCAGGGGUCUGUCUAGGUUUUUCUGAGAAGUACCCAUUUUGUGAAAAUUUAGACAUAAUUUGUGAAAAAUUAACAAUUAUAUUAAAAAAUCAACACAAAAAUAUGG